rnacentral:lncRNA from 1 species
GUGUUUCUGAGCACUGAUGUUACAGAUUCAACUUCACAUAUCAUAGAAAAAUAAAGAAGAAUUUUAGUUGUACAUAAUUAUUGUACGUAACGAUGUUCAUAAAUGUCCAAGCGUGAGAUUUGAAUUAAAUAUUGGAUCAUGUACACCUCGACUACGUACAAAUAGCACUUCUCACUAAUAAAAGCGUGCCCAUCGUCGUAGCCGGCCGUUGCCAUCCCUACGCAUCCUCACUUCCGGCCACUUUCGCCAUAGCAUUUCCCCACCCACCAUCUGUAUGUUUUCGGCCAUGGCCAUGAGAGCGGCAAAAUCCUGAUCUGCCUUUUUAUUAUAUCCCAGAUGUUCAGAAUUUUUCUGCCAUUUCUCUUCUUCUAUAGGAAUUUUAAUAAAUUUUGUAUACCUAUGGUCCUAUAGAUGCAUAUAAUUACAUAAAUUCUAAUCCAUCCACCUGAAAGCACCCAAUUUUACCAAUCGCAUCCUUCGAUUGGAUCGCCGGCGGAUAAUAAUGGAGAAUUCCGACGUCUUUGGAUCAUCGACGGCCACUCCGACUUGGCAGUACUUCCUCGAACGCAUGCGCCACCCCUCCGCAGCUGAUUUCGUCAAAGCCAUCAAAAGGUAAUUAUUGCUAUGGGUAACUUAUUAAUUAUUGCUAGUCAUUUGAUUCAUAGUAAAAAAUAACAGUCGAUGUUAAUGAACAACUUGUGGAUUUGAAUAAUUUAUUUUUAAUGAAUGUCCAAUAGCUAAUUUUGUUCAUGGUAUGAUGUAAUUAUACAUUAUUGCAACAAGAUAAUUAGAUGUGCUAAAUAUUUAGACCAAUUUCAGAUAUUUCUGAUGGUACAUAUGUCCAUCAUAACCUCGAUAUUGUGCAUUUUCAUUUAUGAUUAUUAUACUUUGUUCAAUAGUAACUUCAACUGUAAACACAUUCAGCAACUAUGCUGAAUCUUAAAAAAAAUUGGUUUUGAUUGUUUUUAUCAUUGAAUUGAAAUGAGCCCAAGAAAUUUAAAGCUUGACUGCUUCCAUUUACUCUUUUUUAACUUCUAUAAUAUAGGAUAACUGAAAUUUGUACUAUUGGUAGUUUAUGAUUCAUAGACUCUUAUCACCUUCCACAUGUCAUUCUUAUUUAUUUAUUUAUUUCAAUGCAUAAAUCACUUUGUUCACUUGCAAACUAUUACAAAAAAUUAUUUUGUGCAAAUCCCUCCAUUUAAGCUUGAAUUGAUUCUUGAACUGCUAUUAUUAAAAUCACCUUUUCUUUUGGUAUUUAUUAUGUAAUUAACUAACAAUUUAGGAAUUAGUGACUUCUAUAUAUUUUUUUGUUACUGGUAAAUACACCAAGUAUUUGAGUUGGAUUGUUUGCAGUUUUAUAGUGUCAUUUUUUAACAAUACACCGGAUGCGGAAAGGGACAGCACAGCUGUGCAGGAGUUCCUUGGGAAUAUGGAAGCGGCAUUUAGAUCACACUCCCUUUGGGCUGGAUGUUCGGAGGAGGAGUUAGAGAGUGCUGGUGAAGUGAGUUUCAGUAGUUUCCAAUUAUUGUUUAUUUCACACUCAUGAGCCACAAUAAGCAGACAAAAAUGAUAUUUGGAAUGGUAUGGAAAGGACAUUAUGAUGAUAAUCUUAGUGUUCCACCACUAACAUUUUGAUUUGCAUGAUAUUGUUUAAGUGCGAGUCCAAAAAGAUUAAAAAGAUUAAUAACCUAAUUAUAA